GACGAACGCUGGCGGCGUGCUUAACACAUGCAAGUCGAACGGAAAGGCCCUGCUUUUGUGGGGUGCUCGAGUGGCGAACGGGUGAGUAACACGUGAGUAACCUGCCCUUGACUUUGGGAUAACUUCAGGAAACUGGGGCUAAUACCGGAUAGGAGCUCCUGCUGCAUGGUGGGGUUGGAAAGUUUCGGCGGUUGGGGAUGGACUCGCGGCCUAUCAGCUUGUUGGUGGGGUAGUGGCUUACCAAGGCUUUGACGGGUAGCCGGCCUGAGAGGGUGACCGGCCACAUUGGGACUGAGAUACGGCCCAGACUCCUACGGGAGGCAGCAGUGGGGAAUAUUGCACAAUGGGCGGAAGCCUGAUGCAGCAACGCCGCGUGCGGGAUGACGGCCUUCGGGUUGUAAACCGCUUUCGCCUGUGACGAAGCGUGAGUGACGGUAAUGGGUAAAGAAGCACCGGCUAACUACGUG
rnacentral:rRNA from 1 species